rnacentral:lncRNA from 1 species
CGGCUCUUCCCGCGCGGCUCCCCUGGCGUCGGGGUGGGGGGGGUGUCUUUACUAGCCUUUGGUACCCAAUGGGCUUAGCUACACGGCAGAGCCGGCUCAGUCCUGGGUGCUCUACUCCCUGCAGGGCUCUACCCUUGUGGCUCCACAUACAGGUGUGGAGCAUGCUCCGGGGGUCCUUACUAGCCCUUGGUGCAAAGUCCAUAUAGCCACCCGGGAAGAGCUGGUUUCAGUCCUAUGCGCUAUGCUCCCUGCACAGCUUUACCCACACAGCUCCACGGACUCCUGGGGGCAUGACAAGAGCCAGUCCCUCAGUGGUUUGGGGCCCGAGGACUCGCCCUUGCCCUCACCAUUCCAGACCACCAUCCUCCGGGACGCCAGACACCUAGCACUGGAGGCCCCUACCUGGGACAUCUGGCUGCCACACUUCCAGGACUCCAGGCUGCUGCCUAGGACUCCAGACGCCCACCCAGGAUGCCCAGCUGACCAUGCCCAAGGCCUUCCUGUAACUUGACCAGCAGAAUUUAUGGGGCCCAGCAGGUAAGGAGGGCUACAGAAGUGAGGAGAAGUGUCACCAUCGAUUGGAGGAAAGGGGAGGCCUGGCUAGGCAGAGGUUACCCAACUCACCAGAAAACCAGGGUCGGAUAUAGAGCCAGGGUUGAAAUUGAUGUUGAGGUUUGCGUUACUGCUUGGCAUCCAGUUCGGACUGGUUAGGUAAUUGAUAAUGUUUUGUCAAGGAAUCAGUGGGAUUUUCAAAAGAUAUUGCACUCCUUAGAUCAUUUUCACUUUCACCACUUACCCUGCCUGGGAGAAGUAUUCUCUUUCCAUUCAGAUCCAGUUUUCUGUAUCUUCAACUCAUUCGAGGACCGUUUCUUUGCCUUUUUUUCUUUCAUUUUUUUUUUUUUUGGUACAAGGGAUGGGACUGCUGGGUCCUUGGGCUUGGGAGGCAGACGGUGCAAUCCCUGGCCCCUGGGUCUGUUUCAUCUUGGCACAACCUUGGCAGAUAUAGAGGACACACAUUGUUUGUUUUUGUUUUUUUGAGCUGAUGCACAGUUGUUGUUUUAAUCCUCUUCAAAGUAUGCAAAACAUGUACAGGUCUUAAAAAUCAAGGCCAAAUAUAAAGUUUACUGAGAAUUCUCAGCUUCUUCCAGUUCCUGUCCAC